CCACUUCACAUUGGAAUACAGCUUAAUGGGGUUCCCUCCGCUUGGAAAUAAUACGCGACCAGUGUCCUCCUGCUGUUGUGAUGAGCUUGUAACUGGAGCCUUCGCACCGUGAAGCAAGAAGGGAUUUGCUUUUAUCCUACGAACCCUGGCAGACCCUGAGAACCUCCAGCACUCGUCUACUAAUUAUUUAAAAACAUUCCUCAGAGGGAGCCCUCUGCAUCAGGAAUUAUAUGUGGGGGUCCUUUGUGUCAGCAUCCUGUUGGCAGUGGUCUAGUGACCUCCCGGUGUAGACGGCUCCUGUGAUAGUGUUCCUUCACCUGGCCCCUUGGCAUUUGAGCACCUGCCCGAAGGAGCCCUUUCCAAUCACCUCCAGCACUUCAAAUCUGUAGGCAAUGUGGUCGUGCAGCACCUGGAACAAAGCAAAGAAAAGAACCGUGCAAGUUUCUGCUGACCUGGACAAUAAUAUUAAGAGUGGUUCUGGACCCCCUUGUUGACAAUUUGGGGCAGGGUGUUGUCGGUCUGCUGCUGCUGGUUCUUGGCAUUGCUGACUACCACCUGGACCACUGGAGGCUCCAGCUGAGGCAAAGUCCCUCCUCCUGGGCCAAACUUCUGCAAGGCAAAAGACCUAAAGUCAACAAUGGAGGAUCAUCCCAGCAGGUGUGCAAUUAUAAGGGCAGCUUUGACUAAUUGUGAUCCUCUCUGUACGGUCACUUGGUCACAAGGUUAACACAUGGAGCAAAGGUAAGAGUAUACAACAAAUCAAAAAUAGAAAUGGACUUUUAAUACAUGUAUUAUUAUAAAAGUGCCAUCUUUGCAUUGCAAACGUUUAUAUUACUAUCUUUGUGGAAGAAACAUGUAAAGAUCAGCUGGAAUACUCUGGGAAACUUCUCUGUUAUCCAAAUAUAGACUCACUGGUCACAACAUUAGGUACACAUGCAGCCCUCCUGCCCUUCAUAUGACAUUUCUUCGCAAAUGUAUUCCUAGCCCCUUCCUGCUCUGAUACUGAUGAGACUAUAAUGGUACAUUUUCCCAUAUGUUCCCAGUGCGGGCUAGAGAAAAUCCGAUCAAAUCCAAGGCAGCAAUAUGAAGAUAUGCCAAUAUAUGUUUUAAUUAGGUAAAUGUGUUAUUUUGCACUAAAAAUUCAAUUUAUUUCCAAUUAACUUGUUUUAGUAUAAAACAUGCAGGAAAUGUAAUCAAAUAAUAAAAAUGGU